GACGAACGCUGGCGGCGUGCCUAAUACAUGCAAGUCGAACGCACAGUUUAUACCGUAGCUUGCUACACCAUAGACUGUGAGUUGCGAACGGGUGAGUAACGCGUAGGUAACCUGCCUGGUAGCGGGGGAUAACUAUUGGAAACGAUAGCUAAUACCGCAUAAUAUUAAUUAUUGCAUGAUAAUUAAUUGAAAGGUGCAAUUGCACCACUACCAGAUGGACCUGCGUUGUAUUAGCUAGUAGGUGAGGUAACGGCUCACCUAGGCGACGAUACAUAGCCGACCUGAGAGGGUGAUCGGCCACACUGGGACUGAGACACGGCCCAGACUCCUACGGGAGGCAGCAGUAGGGAAUCUUCGGCAAUGGACGAAAGUCUGACCGAGCAACGCCGCGUGAGUGAAGAAGGUUUUCGGAUCGUAAAGCUCGGUUGUAAGAGAAGAACGGGUGUGAGAGUGGAAAGUUCACACUGUGACGGUAGCUUACCAGAAAGGGACGGCUAACUACGUG
rnacentral:rRNA from 1 species